rnacentral:rRNA from 1 species
CCCGGGCCUUGUACACACCGCCCGUCACACCACGAAAGUUGGCAAUACCCGAAGCCGGUGGGCUAACCUCAAGGGGGCAGCCGUCCAAGGUAUGGUUCAUGAUUGGGGUG